AUAUCUAUGGUCGGCACGUCUGGUAGCAUCUCUGGCUGCUGUUGAUCUUGUUUUUGGAGUAAAACACGGUGGAAGCUGAAUUAGUGAGGAUGACUCCUGCUCCUGUCAUCUCUAAGCUCCUCACACAUCUUUACCUGCACAUGAGGAAAAUCACUCCUGUAGAAUGCAGAUGUUCAGAGGGAGAUGAUGCCACAUCUGGUCCAGCUGAUGGAAGGUCUUGAAGUUCUCUGACUGGCCUCGACUGAAGAUGGUCGUCUCUCUGGAUUUAAGAUGCACAAUGAGGGACGUCUGCAGCGACUGAGAAAGAGUCUCACCACAUCCUGACAUGAGGAAAAAGACUUUACUGAAAACUACAAUGAGAAAAACUAUCAGACAGCAGACGGCUGCAUUCAAGAGAAGAAGACCAUCAAACAUCCACGUCAGCUGAUGGAGGUCCAAGAGUCUCACCAAACAAACAACCUACAGAGUGAAGACCUCAAAUCUGAUUGGACGGCCUCCUAUUCAGCCACGUGUGAACAAAUGCCUCUAAGUUGAUUUGUCUUCU
ensembl:lncRNA